rnacentral:lncRNA from 1 species
CAUCCCUUCAGAAGCUGAACCCAGAUAUUAUUGAUAAUUUGUUCCAGUGACUGUACCUUGUUUACUUCGCCCCUGCAAUGUAAGCCACGUGUUUAUAAGUUUUUAACAUCAGACAUAUAUUUUUUUUAAUUACUAUAACUUUUUUAGUUAGCUAGUUAAGUUUUUCCUAACUACUAGUAAACCAGAAGAAUAGGUAUUCGUAGGUCUGAUAGACAGAUACUUUAUUGACUUAAUACAUCUGGUCAUAUCUUAUAAAAUCCCUGAGAUUGAAGAUUGUUCGCAAAGUAAUCUCCCAAUAUCUUCUCCCCCCUCUCCCUCCUUUCUUUAUAAUUGUUAGUCCCAUAUUUGUUUCUAAAUUUGUACUAUAAAGGAGUAUUAUUAUUUAUAGAAUCGCUCCAAAAUAGGAGACUAUUUAAUCUCCCUCCCUCCCUCUAGGAAUAAGAUGAUCCUCAGUUAAGUUGCAUUAAAACCUUUAUUACAAAAAUACCAUUAUUAUAGCUAUUCCCCUCUUACUACACACGCGACUAUUUCUUUUUAUUGGAUAGGAUUACUCUUGAAAAUUCUUUCAAAACAUUGUUUAAAUGUUUUAAUCUCAACUGAUAAGGGUCCCCACAAUAUGGUUUAUUUGUUUACGGCACUUCGUACCUUGUCAAAGAAGUUGCAAGUAAUCCAUCUGUAAUUGCAAUAAUGCAGAAGCAUUAUUAUGAGCCUAGUCAUCCAUCCUUGGCCCAUCUAACCCCAACUACUACCAUACAAUAUUGCAUCAUAUUGACUAUUGAUAGGCUUUCCUCCAGCAAAAUCUCUCGUAGCCCUAGUAUUUUUGUGUGGAUCAAUUCCAAGUUCAGCUCAUGAAGGUGCCUUGAAUACAAUAAGGACCUGUGUGCAAAAGGAGAAACAACAAGUGGAGACUAACUGGCAGGGGGCCUCUCGGAAGUUAGAGAUAGGAGGAGUUCAAAUUAAAAAGAGGCGGGCAACUAUACCAGGUUCAGCAGCGAAAGCAGGAAAGAAGAAGUCGUCGCCGUCUUCAAUCCAAGCUUAUUGUCUUCUUGGUGUGUUCUUUGGUUUAUUCUCGCUCUAGUCUUUGCCAUGUAAUAUUAAGCCUCUGUUAGAGUUUUCACUUGUUGGACAUGGGAAAGCAUGUAAACUACUACUAUUACACUUUUGUUAUUGGAUUCUAUGAAUUUUAUUUUUACGUUCUGAUAUUCUUGAAUGGAAUAAAUUUAGCCUUUUCAUGGACAGACAGACAACUUAUUGAAAAAAUUAUAUCCGCAUCAAAAACAACUUUUGCUUGGAUUAAAUACUUCCGAGUGGGACUUUGCACAUCUUAUUUAUUGUAGCUGUUUUAUAGGAGAAAAUAAAAUAAAUUCAU